rnacentral:rRNA from 1 species
UACAGAGGUCUCAAGCGUUGUUCGGAUUCAUUGGGCGUAAAGGGUGCGUAGGCGGCGCGGUAAGUCGGGUGUGAAAUCUUGGAGCUUAACUCCGAAACUGCAUUCGAUACUGCCGUGCUUGAGGACUGGAGAGGAGACUGGAAUUUACGGUGUAGCGGUGAAAUGCGUAGAUAUCGUAAGGAAGACCAGGGGCGAAGGCGGGUCUCGUGGACAGUUCCUGACGCUGAGGCACGAAGGCCAGGGGGAGCAAACGGG